UUUAAUAAUUUAAAUUUUGAAAUAAGUUAAAAUUUAAUUUAGGUUUAUGAGUAUUUUUUAUUAAAAUUUUUAUAUGUAAAUUUUUGUAUGAAUUUUUAUUUUAUUAAAAAUAAAAUAUUUAAUUUUAAAUUACAAUAGAUAAUCUUAUUUUUUAAAGAAAUUUAGAAAUAGUUAUUAAUUAAAAUAUUAAUAAAAUUUGUGCCAGCAAUUGCGGUUAUACAAAUAAUAUAAAAAUAUUGAUUUAAAUAUAAUUAAUUUGAUAAAUAUUAAUUUUAUAAUUAAAAUUAAAUUAUUAAGUGAAAUUUUAAUUUUUAAUAAUUUAUAAUAAAAAAAAAUGAAGUUAAAAAAUUUAUUGAUAAAACUAGGAUUAGAUACCCUAUUAUUAUAAAUGUAAUGAUAAAAAAUUUAGAUUAUUAAUAGUUAAGAUCUUUAAAAUUAAAGAAUUUGGCGGUAUUUUAGUCUAUUUAGAGGAACCUGUUCUAUGACUGAUAAUCCACGAUUAAUUUUACUUAUUUUAUUAGUUUAUAUAUCGUUGUAAUUAGAUUAUUUUAAAAGAAUUUAAUAAUCAAAAUUGUAUUAUAAUAAAAAAAAUCAGAUCGAGAUGUAGCUUAUAAAUAAGAAGUAAUGGGUUACAAUAAAAUUAUUUUUUGAUAAAUCAAAGAAAUAUGAUUUUGAAAAUGGAUUUAAAUGUAAUUUUUAUAAAUAUUUUAAAAAUGAUUUAAGCUCUAAAUUAUGUACAUAUUGCCCGUCGCUUUUAUUAUAAAAUAAAAUAAGUCGUAACAAAGUAAACUUACUGGAAAGUGAGUUUAGAAGAU
rnacentral:ncRNA from 1 species